CAGUAGCCACGGGAAUAUGAAGGGGGCUAGCGUUGCUCGGAAUUACUGGGCGUAAAGGGAGCGUAGGCGGAUCGUUAAGUUGGGGGUGAAAGCCCGGGGCUCAACCUCGGAACUGCCUUCAAUACUGGCGAUCUUGAGUAUGAGAGAGGUGUGUGGAACUCCGAGUGUAGAGGUGAAAUUCGUAGAUAUUCGGAUGAACACCAGUGGCGAAGGCGACACACUGGCUCAUUACUGACGCUGAGGCUCGAAAGCGUGGGGAGCAAACAGGAUUAGAUACCCGCGUAGUCCCUGUCUCUUAUAC
rnacentral:rRNA from 1 species